AGCGAACGCUGGCGGCAGGCUUAACACAUGCAAGUCGAACGGGCGUAGCAAUACGUCAGUGGCAGACGGGUGAGUAACACGUGGGAACGUACCUUUUGGUUCGGAACAACACAGGGAAACUUGUGCUAAUACCGAAUAAGCCCUUACGGGGAAAGAUUUAUCGCCGAAAGAUCGGCCCGCGUCUGAUUAGCUAGUUGGUGAGGUAAUGGCUCACCAAGGCGACGAUCAGUAGCUGGUCUGAGAGGAUGAUCAGCAACACUGGGACUGAGACACGGCCCAGACUCCUACGGGAGGCAGCAGUGGGGAAUCUUAGACAAUGGGGGAAACCCUGAUCUAGCCAUGCCGCGUGAGCGAUGAAGGCCUUAGGGUUGUAAAGCUCUUUCAGAUGGGAAGAUAAUGACGGUACCAUCAGAAGAAGCCCCGGCUAACUCCGUG
rnacentral:rRNA from 1 species